GAAUAUUGAGAGUACAAGCGGGAAUUUUAAGGAAGGUCCAGGGAGCUUCUGCGGCCCAGCAGCCCCUCAUUGAUGGAAAAGGAUUUGAUUGCCCAAAGCCCAGAUCCAGGAAUGAAACUGUCCUCUAGAGGGUGCCAAAGACCAAGCCAGGUCUGGAACCUGCAUAGGCACAGUCCCCACCCCUCCCAGCUCACCCAGCAGGAGGAGGCUGCAGUCCAAGGGCUUCGUUUCUAGUCAGGCGUCCUCUGUAAGGAGCUAACUCUUCCACUGUGGCCUCAGAAGCCUGAGCCUCUGCCCCUCACGCUCCUCUGCAGAUUCUAAGUGAGUUCAUGAGGGCAGAGACGUAGCCCUGGAAGUGGGAGAGACCUGCCAUAUUCCCUUCGUAUGUGUGCUGUCAGGGUCAGGGAUGAGGUAAGACCAGAAGUGGAGCUGUGUGGGCCAGUGGCGCAGUGGAUAACACGUCUGACUACGGAUCAGAAAAGUGGAGCUGGGGUCUUGGAUGAGGUCAGAGCCUGGGCAGAGUUGGAUUGGACUGGGGUCAGGUUGGUGAGAGAGGGAACUGGGGUCUGUGUUGAGGACCGGGAUCAGGCCCUAGGCUGGAUGCUGGGGAUGGAGAGGUGGAGAAGACACAAUCUCAUCUGUCCUUUGGGAGAGACAGGUAAGUAGCAGGUAACUUAGGAGACUCCAUGGUAAGGUGGAAGGAAUAUAGGCAGCAGCUAACCCAGUAUGGAGGGAACAAGGGUCUUCCAGAACAGGUGACAUGGGGGCAGAGUCCUCCAAGAUAAGCAGGGGGAGGAGGGGAAUGAGGAUAUUUGAAGCCAUCUGAAGCCUGAUCAGAUUGUGAGAAAACCUGGGAAGUGUGCCUGGCAUGCAGAGGGCUGGAGAACUGGGCAGAAGUAGACCGUGAAGGGCUUUGUCUGCUGGGCCAAGUGGUUCAGACUAUCCUGAGGGCCUGAGGAGCCUUGGAAGGGUUCUAAGGAAAGAGAAGAGCAAAGUAGCCAACCUGGGGUUCCUGAGGCCCCGGGGCAUCCUGCAGGCCCGGGUGCAAUUGGGACUGGGCUCGGUAAAGGGGUCUUGCUGGAGAAAGAGAACAGGAGAUAUCAGCCCCUGGGCACUCACUGCAGGAGUCCACGGGAUUGCCCAGGAAGCACCGGGAGUGGGGCAAGGGCCAGGGGGUGGAUUCUUGGGAACAGGAGAUGACUGAGAAGCAGCAGGGGAGAGGGAGAUGGAAACCCGGACACUGGGCUGCCCAGACGGCGUGGGAGCCGGCAGGUGGUUGUGGCCCCAGACUUGGGUGCUGGAGGGACCAGCCAGCCAAGUGUUUACAGAGAACUGCAGUGAAGAGCUGGAGGGGAUGGAUGAUGUCCGGCAGCACUGAAGAAGCACAGGCCAAGGGGGCAGAAAGUUCAACUGUGGAGAGAAGAGAGGCAGCUAAAGCGGCCACCAGCGUGGGAGUCAGGGUCAGACUUUCGAAGCAGAUUCUUUUGAGCCACAGAAUCCUUUGUGUAACUCAGGAGCCCAUGAUGUAAACAGAGGAAAGACUGAGAUCCAGAGCUGGCCUGGCCCGAGCCUCAGGUGUCCCAGGGUUUCCUCUUCAGCUGUGAAUUCCCUACGCCCUGGCUGAGAGCCUAGACUCCCUGUUCUCCAGGUCAUCCUGUUCAUCCUCCCUGCCUUCCAACAAGACAGCCCAUGGAGGGCCUGGAUGGCAGCUGGGCCUACGGAGGCUUCUCUCUGCAGUCAGAUGUCCCUUGGCUUAGAAGAUGCACCCUGAGACUGGGGGCCCAGGCCUGGACUGGCCACUGCCUUACACAGUAGCUUCGUGCAAGUCACCUGUAUGAGAGACUCAGCCUCCUGUUCUGUGGAACAGCAGUAAGGAUGUGGACCAGUUGACUU